rnacentral:rRNA from 1 species
UACGUAGGGUGCGAGCGUUGUCCGGAAUUAUUGGGCGUAAAGAGCUCGUAGGCGGUUCGAUAAGUCAGGUGUAAAAACUCCAGGCUCAACUUGGAGAGGCCACCUGAUACUGUCGUGACUAGAGUCCGGUAGAGGAGCACGGAAUUCCUGGUGUAGCGGUGAAAUGCGCAGAUAUCAGGAGGAACACCGGUGGCGAAGGCGGGUCUCUGGGCCGAUACUGACGCUGAGGAGCGAAAGCGUGGGUAGCAAACAGG